rnacentral:rRNA from 1 species
UAGUCCACGCCGUAAACGAUGGUCACUAGUUGUUGGGGUCUUGUACCUCAGUGAUUAAGAGAAAUUGAUAAGUGACCCACCUGGGGAGUACGAUCGCAAGAAUGAAACUCAAAGGAAUUGACGGGGGCCCGCACAAGCGGUGGAGCAUGUGGUUUAAUUCGGUGAUACGCGAGGAACCUUACCAGGGCUUAAAUGUAUAGUGACAGGGAUAGAGAUAUCUUUUUCUUCGGACACUUUACAAGGUGCUGCAUGGUUGUCGUCAGCUCGUGCCGUGAGGUGUCAGGUUAAGUCCUAUAACGAGCGCAACCCCUGUUGUUAGUUGCCAGCGAGUGAAGUCGGGAACUCUAACAAGACUGCCAGUGCAAACUGUGAGGAAGGUGGGGAUGACGUCAAAUCAUCACGGCCCUUACGUCCUGGGGCUACACACGUGCUACAAUGGUAGGGUACAGAGAGCAGCCACUACGCGAGUAGGGAGCGAAUCUAUAAAACCU